AUUGAACGCUGGCGGCAGGCCUAACACAUGCAAGUCGAACGAGUGGCGGACGGGUGAGUAAUGUCUGGGAAACUGCCUGAUGGAGGGGGAUAACUACUGGAAACGGUAGCUAAUACCGCAUACCAUCGGAUGUGCCCAGAUGGGAUUAGCUAGUAGGUGGGGUAACGGCUCACCUAGGCGACGAUUCCUAGCUGGUCUGAGAGGAUGACCAGCCCAACGGGAAAGUGGACACGGGCCAGACUCCUACGGGAGGGAGCAGGGGGGAAUAUUUGAAAAAGGGCGCAAGCCGGAUGCAGCCAUGCCGCGUGUAUGAAGAAGGCCUUCGGGUUGUAAAGUACUUUCAGCGGGGAGGCGUUACCCGCAGAAGAAGCACCGGCUAACUCCGUGCCAGCAGCCGCGGUAAUUC
rnacentral:rRNA from 1 species